AAUCCUGUGGUGUAGUUGGUAACGCGCCCAUCCGGCAAACGGCACUCGUAGGUUCGAAUCCUACUGGCGUCU
rfam:Oryctes borbonicus contig7988, whole genome shotgun sequence.